rnacentral:rRNA from 1 species
AUUGAACGCUGGCGGCAUGCCUUACACAUGCAAGUCGAACGGUAACAGGUCUUCGGAUGCUGACGAGUGGCGAACGGGUGAGUAAUGCAUCGGAACGUGCCCAGUAGUGGGGGAUAGCCCGGCGAAAGCCGGAUUAAUACCGCAUACGACCUGAGGGGGAAAGGGGGGGAUCGCAAGACCUCUCGCUAUUGGAGCGGCCGAUGUCAGAUUAGCUAGUUGGUGGGGUAAAGGCCUACCAAGGCAGCGAUCUGUAGUUGGUCUGAGAGGACGACCAGCCACACUGGGACUGAGACACGGCCCAGACUCCUACGGGAGGCAGCAGUGGGGAAUUUUGGACAAUGGGCGCAAGCCUGAUCCAGCAAUGCCGCGUGCAGGAAGAAGGCCUUCGGGUUGUAAACUGCUUUUGUCAGGGAAGAAAUCUUCUGGGUUAAUACCUCGGGAGGAUGACGGUACCUGAAGAAUAAGCACCGGCUAACUACGUGCCAGCCGCCGCCGUAAUAC